ACUUUCGUCUAUUCCUUCUGCUCGAGAGAACGACAGAGAGAGACGGGGUGCAGAGAAGCAAAGAAAGAAAGAGAGGAGCGAGAGAGGAAGAGUGAGACAAGAGCAAGGUACGAGCGGGAGAGAGAAGAAGCACUUCCUGUAGGCAGUUUGACGAACAGACAGACACCUAUGCGCAACCACGGGAGAGCCUGAAAUGUACGAGCAGAGACAGACGCGUGAGAGGAAGAAGGCUUGCUGCGAUUGGUUCAAGAAGAAAAACAGAGCUGCGUUUAGAAAAAGAGGCGAGGAAGGAGAAAAAAUAGAAGAAAAGGGAGGAAGGAAUUUCGGGUUGAGGUUAGUGAGAGAACUAGAGACUUUGAGGCAGAGUUAAAAGAGAGGGGAGGAGUGCACGGAGAGAGUAAAAGAGAGGGUAUAAUUUUUGGGGGACUAGGGUUUUGUAGAGAGAGAGAGAGGGAGAGAGAGAGUUCGUCAGAGAAGAUCAGAAGAAUAAGAGAGUAGGCAAAUCAGAGAAAGAGGGAGAAAAUAGAGGUGAUUUGGAGUAGUAGUAACAAAAGGAAAGAGAGGGUUCUAAUUCCAGAAACCUUAGGCAGAAGGAGAUUACUUCAGGUUCGUGAAAGAGGAGCUUCAUAGUCUGCUCACCAUUUGAAAGUCUAUAUUUUCUCCUCAGAGUUUCAGCUGGAAAAAGCCUGAAUGGAGCCCUGGCCCAAUUGAAAUUUUCAUUGUUAGGCUAAAUAAGCAGGU